UUUACUCACCAAAUUUGAUAACUUUUUCUUACGGUUUAUAUGUUGGUUGUAUAUACAAAUUUAUGUGCUUUUCAAACGAAAAUACAUUAUGUGCUUAUUUUCCAACUUUUGAAGUGUUUCCCAUCUCUCUCAUAUAUAUAUAUAGAUAGAGAGAGAGGUGACGUGACACCUCUUCUAAGCCAGGAUCUCUAUUUAUUUUAUUCUCAAAUAUUUGUCUUUGUUCUAUUUUUAGGAUGUAUUAAUUUAUUAUUUAAAAGAAGAAAAACUAAUUUGAUAUGACUUCUCUAAAUAGUUGUGUCCAAUCUAAAUAAGUAAUAUACGUACGUUCUUUCCUCCCCUUAAACUCAUUCAUAACAUAAUUACUUCCAUAUUUAUUCGUUUUUAUUUCCCAUUAUUUUGAUUAGUUUUUAAUGUGUUCUUUUGUAGUUCAAGUCUAUUACUUGACUUUUGAGGUUUUGGUUGUAAUAUAUAGGGAUUUUAGAAGUUUCAGUUUUUCAUCACUUCCCAACAUGAUCAAAGGGGCAUGAGAGUCUGGUAAAGGGCACUUGGUAAUAGCUUUUUGUUUUCUCUAUUGGUUGGUAUAUAUUUUUUGCUGCGUCUUGCAUAUCUUUGUUAGCAUUAAAAUAUUUAUACCUGUCAAUCAUUACAUAUUUGUGAAUGGAUCUUUCCUAAGAUAUCGUUACAAAGUUUCUUGCUUUUUAGGUAUUCUAAUUACGAGUUUAUGUUUUGAAAAAGAACAAUAUUCUAUCUUCCAUCUUUGGUAUAAUUCUGCAUUUUCCUAACUUUUUUUGGUCUGGUAUCACUCUAAUAUUUGCUUUUUCUCUUUGAUUAUUUAUUCUUUGUAUUUAUAGUUCAAGUUGUGUUAAUUUAUAGGAAUGUGGUUUAUGCGUAUUAGAAUUUGACACUAUCAUUAUUAUGCUAUUCAGAUUGGUACAACUUUUUCAUACUUGAUUGGUGUUUAUUUCAUGUAUCUCUGUAUUAAUAUUUUUUUUACUUUUUAUAUCAGGUUUUGGCAGAGUAAAGAGUCCAAGCAUGUGGACUCCAGUGAAAAACUUUGACCAUUGCCUUUUCCCGUUCUAUCCGAUUUCACAGUGUUUAUCUUGAAAGUGGAAUUAGCUUUUGGCACAGUAUGAGUCCAACCAUAUAGAUUCAGGUGAAACUUUUAUAUCUUCUUCUUCCUUCCUAUUUGGCUUUCCAAUAUUUUCUUGACAGUGUUAUUUGCAAGAGACGGACUGAAAAAAGAAAAACUUAGAUAAUCAGAUUACUAUAUUUAAUUGUUGAAAAGAUUGAAAGCACCACCAGUUAAGAAUUAUAGUCCUCUUUCCCUUUCUUUCUUAAGGCAAAAAUUCAAGUAGUGACUAAUUAUAGAGAAGUUGAAUGAAUAAAGAAAAAAUUGAAAGAAAGAGAUGAAGUGGAGGGGAGGGGAGAGGGGUGGGUCAGAAAAAAUCCAAAGCGGGUUUCAAAGAUAAUAGAUCAGAUACUUAGAGUGGGAGAAGGAAUUGGUUUCUUAUGAUCUGCAGAAGUAGUAUAGAAGCCUCUGUAGACACGUAGCAAAAUAUAUUUUUCAGUCUAUUUCUCAAGCUAUGUCACCAUCAUCAAAUAACCAACCAUUUUUAUUUAUUUAUUUAUUUAUAUCUUUUGGAUUUCCUCUGGACAUGAUUUUGUUCUAAUCUAUGUUUGUUUCCUCACUUUGUUCAUGGUGUUUCGAGUUUAUUUUGGCAGUAGUAGUGACAUUGUUAAUAUGUCUACAUUUAGUCAUCUAUUUAAUGGCAUGGAAGCUUUCUCUCUAAUCAUACAUCUCAUAGGUUUUAUGUUAGUUUACUUGCAUACUUUUAGACCUCUGUCGAACUUGUGCUCUGUUCAUAGCGAGUGAGAAAUUAUUAGUAGCUCCAUUUAUAUAUAAGGCUUAUAUUAGUUCCAUGUUAAAAAUGAGUUGAACCUAAAAGUUUAGAGGAUUUAAAGGGGAAAAAACUCGAGUAUGAUAUCUUUUAGCUUCAUGAUUCCUUUGCUUGCUUUAAUUUUUUAUCCAAUUUGUACAGUACUUGAUAAGUUUAUUCAAGUACAAAAGGUACACCUUUAAUAUUCUGAUAAGGUUUUUCCUAAAUUGGAUAUGCUGAUUGAGAACUCCUUCCUGCUAAUUUUUCUCUAUCUUAUUAGUUUUGGAGUUGAAUGUUCUGCACUCAAUAUCUCUUGGUUUUCGGCUUGAUAUUUCGAGAUGGAUAUAAAGCAUAUCUAUAUUGUAGUCUUGCAUGUAUGAUGCUACUGCAACUUACUAAUGAUAUAACUAUUAUUUUUAUGCAGGGUUACAGCUGAACAUUCAAAUAAUAACCCUCCAAAGCAACAAUGACAGUUGCUAAUGUGAGACAUGGCCAAAUGGGGAAUAGUCCUGCAGACUAUAAAGAACUUAUAAAAAGUCUGACAAGAAAACGAUGAAGUCUUGUAACUUUUGUUAAAAGAAAAUUCAUAUAUAUUGCAAUUGAAACAAAUUCGAAUUAGUAUUGAAGUGAGGAAGGUGUUGUGAAAAGCUUAUAAUCAUCCCAUGAUCCAAACAAAGGUGUACCAUCCUUUUUUUUUUAAAAAUCAAUUUAGUAUAUCAUU
rnacentral:lncRNA from 1 species